AGCAAUCUUUCGAAAAGCAAAGGUCCCGGGGUCGUAUCUUGGUGCAUUCUAAGCUGUGAAAUAAUUUUUUCUGGAUCCGCCGAAACGCAUGUCGCAAACCACACGUACAUAUGUAUACACAUCAUAAUCUGAAAAUGAUUGGAGGUGAUUCUCUCUAGACUUCGAAAACGUGGAGAUCUACCGACAACACAACUUUAAUUUUCGGGAUUCACCAUAUAACGCACGUUCUUCUCAACGUAUUGAAUUAAAAAAAAGACGUGGUUAACAGGACACGUAAACAAU
rnacentral:lncRNA from 1 species